rnacentral:rRNA from 1 species
GACGAACGCUGGCGGCGUGCUUAACACAUGCAAGUCGAACGGAGCUUCUUGGAUAGAGACUUCGGUCAAUUGAAUUGAAGCUUAGUGGCGGACGGGUGAGUAACACGUGAGCAACCUGCCUAUCAGAGGGGGACAACAGUUGGAAACGACUGCUAAUACCGCAUAACGUGCUCGGAAGGCAUCUUCUGGGUACCAAAGAUUUAUCGCUGAUAGAUGGGCUCGCGUCUGAUUAGAUAGUUGGCGGGGUAACGGCCCACCAAGUCGACGAUCAGUAGCCGGACUGAGAGGUUGAACGGCCACAUUGGGACUGAGACACGGCCCAGACUCCUACGGGAGGCAGCAGUGGGGAAUAUUGCACAAUGGGGGAAACCCUGAUGCAGCGACGCCGCGUGAAGGAUGAAGGUCUUCGGAUCGUAAACUUUUGUCUUCAGGGACGAUAAUGACGGUACCUGAGGAGGAAGCCACGGCUAACUACGUAGCCAGCAGCCG